GUCUGUUACACAAUAACUCCUCAGAGUGCUGAGUGGAGACAAGAGUGAACACAAUACACUAUUUGCUCGUGGCACCUGAGCCUCUCCAGUCUUGAGGCCUAUCCCUUCCCUCCCUUCUCUGGUGAAGAGAGAUGUGACUCAUCUCUGCAGCUCUUUUGGAUACAGAGGUCUGACUCUCUCUGACUCUAUAGUUACCAGGAAGGCUGUCUCACCCAGGCCCAGAGAGUCGUGGGCCCUACUAGGCCAGUUAAACCUUGGAGUCAAACACAGUAGUAUUAGGAUUUAGCAAGGAAAGACAUAGAUGGAAAAUUUUCCAUUUUGAGAUCUGGGAAAAGAGGUCGAAGUCGAUGAGGUGCCAGGAAUUGGUACCUAGGUGCCUCGGAUCCUGUUUGUGACCAAACUUGCCACACCAGAUGCAGUAAUGAGAAUUUAGGUGGCCCCUCUGGUCUCUGAAGAAACCUGAUGUUUUGGAAGUUACUCCUGCCCUGACUGCUCUAGGUAGGCCUGAUUCUCCAAGGGACACCUCAUAGCACCUUGUCCUAUGACUUGCUGCAGAACCCUCUCAGCCCCAGAUCUCUCUGCAACUGGCCUAGAAAACAGCGAGGGCUCCUAGGUCACCAGCAUACAGGGACAGAUACUCGACGCUGCUUGUGACAGCAUUGCAAGCACAUGCCUGACAUACUUUGGAAAGGCUGCCUGGUUCUAUUACUGGUGCAUGAAAGUUUUGCUCCGGUAGGAAAUCUCUAAAUUUAGAUGAUUUUCAGGAUGAACUCUGAGUGAUCUUUGUCCCCAACACGAGUAAGGAAUUGGAGGUCACCUUGCUUUUUACUAUUUAUUUUUUUAAUUUAUUUACUUUAUUUUAAAUGCCAGAGUUGAUGUUUAAUAAUGCAAAACUUUUGAAGA